rnacentral:rRNA from 1 species
ACGGGAGGCAGCAGUGAGGAAUAUUGGUCAAUGGACGGAAGUCUGAACCAGCCAAGUAGCGUGAGGGAUGACGGCCCUAUGGGUUGUAAACCUCUUUUGCGGGGGAAUAAAGUUCGCCACGUGUGGUGUUUUGCAUGUACCCUGCGAAUAAGGAUCGGCUAACUCCGUGCCAGCAGCCGCGGUAAUACGGAGGAUCCGAGCGUUAUCCGGAUUUAUUGGGUUUAAAGGGAGCGUAGGCGGAAGGUCAAGUCAGCUGUGAAAUGUAGUCGCUCAACGUCUGCACUGCAGUUGAAACUGGUUUACUUGAGUGCGUAAGAGGCAGGCGGAAUUCGUCGUGUAGCGGUGAAAUGCUUAGAUAUGACGAAGAACUCCGAUUGCGAAGGCAGCUUGCUGGGCCGCAACUGACGCUGAAGCUCGAAGGUGCGGGUAUCGAACAGGAUUAGAUACCCUGGUA